CCUACGGGUGGCAGCAGUGGGGGAUAUUCCACAAUGGGCGCAAGCCUGAUGCAGCGACGCCGCGUGGAGGAUGCAGGUUUUCGGAUUGUAAACUCCUGUCUUCAGGGACGAUAAUUACGGUACCUGAGGAGGAAGCCACUGCUAACUACGUGCCAGCAGCCGCGGUAAUACGUAGUUGGCAAGCGGUGUCCGGAAUUACUGGGUGUAACGGGAGCGUAGGCGGGACAGCAAGUCCAGUGUGAAAUCUAUCGGCUCAACCGAUAGCUGCGCUGGAAACUGUGGUUCUUGAGUGAAGUAGAGGCAAGCGGAAUUCCGAGUGAAGCGGUGAAAUGCGUAGAUAUUAGGAGGAACACCAGUGGCGAAGGCAGCCUGCUGGACUUUUACUGACGCUGAGGCUCGAAAGUGUGGGUAGCAAACAGGAUUAGAUACCCUAGUAGUC
rnacentral:rRNA from 1 species